rnacentral:rRNA from 1 species
UGGGGAAUAUUGGACAAUGGGCGCAAGCCUGAUCCAGCCAUGCCGCGUGAGUGAUGAAGGUCUUCGGAUUGUAAAGCUCUUUUGGCGGGGACGAUAAUGACGGUACCCGCAGAAUAAGCCCCGGCUAACUUCGUGCCAGCAGCCGCGGUAAUACGAAGGGGGCUAGCGUUGCUCGGAAUCACUGGGCGUAAAGCGCACGUAGGCGGGCUUUUAAGUCGGAGGUGAAAUCCCAGGGCUCAACCCUGGAACUGCCUUCGAUACUGAAAGUCUUGAGUCCGGAAGAGGUAAGUGGAACUCCGAGUGUAGAGGUGAAAUUCGUAGACAUUCGGAAGAACACCAGUGGCGAAGGCGGCUUACUGGUCCGGUACUGACGCUGAGGUGCGAAAGCGUGGGGAGCAAACA